CUUAAUAUAAAGUUGUUGUGCAUAAAUGUUAAAACUAACAAUCGUUUGACCCUGAGGAACUACAAUAAGUGUAGAAUGUAUAUCUGGACUUCCGCCAAUCGGGUGCGGUGCCUGUCAUGAGAAAGGUUUAGUCAUCUACAUUGUUGUCGUGUGAACUAGUUUAACUGGAUUAACUGGAAGUAAACGUGCCUCCUACGUUGCAUACAUUCAGAAGGUGAAAGCGGAGCUUGCAGACAAAGGCAUAACAGAGGCCGGCACAGAUCAGAUGAAACAUCUUGAAGAAACAGUAACUGUCGAUGGACUAGCUUUGCUCCAAGCUGCACUAAGUUCUUAAAAGAGCUGAUGGUGGGGUUGGCGGACUAGGUCAUCACAGAGGCGAAUGUAGAUCCUAAAGGACUUUUCAAAAGAGACAUUUUCGGUCGAUUGUCCGAAUCUUUCCAAACAUUACUGUUGUGGAAUUUCUCUCUCCCCAUGAUAUGUUGUUGGAACACAUUACGUGCAUUGUCAACUGUGUUGUACAGAGUUGUUUCUUAUAUUAUAAACAGGGUGUGAUAACUUUUUUAUAUCUGUGACAAAGUUCUGCAUUUUGAGAUUAUUUUAUUUGUCGGGUGAUAAACGUUCAAAUGAGUAACAUUCAGAAAGCAGUUUAAAAAAUAAUUUCGAAUUUGUUUGGUAAAGAUAGCAAAACAAACAUCAGAAAACAUAAGCUAAUCAUGAAGAUAUUCCUCGUGUCCAUUCAACACGAUUUGCAUCGUAAUAUUUGUUUUGAUUAAAAAUGAAAGGUGCAUUCAUAUUAGCAUUUUCAAAACAUCUAUCCAUAUAAACAUAUGCGUUUAAAUGAUUCAAAAUUAUAUCUAUUGUCAGUAUUUGCUUAUAAUGUUACUUUUUCUUACGAUAUAAAAUAGCGUAUACAUGUUUCAUUCUACAAAUUAUGUUUAAUAAACAACAGUAUGUAUUGCUUGUAUAUAAAAACAAUACUUAACUGAUAAUUCAAUCUUUGUUCGA